rnacentral:piRNA from 1 species
UGCCACCCGCGACCACAGGAUGGCAC